CUCUCUCUCUCUCUCUCUCCCUCCCUCAAGAACAAUUAUAAGAAUCAUGUCUGCCAAGGCAAAAGAAGAGGCCGGGGGUGGGUUGCAAUAAAGAAUGGAGAACAUGAGGAAAAGAAGACAUUGCCAGCCCCCCAUCUUGGAGUUACAAACUGCAGGAAAAGGCCGCUCUUCAUGAUUCUUCUGAUGAUCAGCCCAGAUCAUGAAACUUGUUUGCUCUUCUUCUGAUCAACAGCUGAUCUCACAUACAUACUCAUCAUACUCCACUUGGUUUAGUUCAUGCAAGAUCCCAAGAACUCAACCACAAGAUUCGAUCUCUCUCAAUCCACGAAGCUGCUACAUAUCAUCAAGAAAUAAAGCAUGACAUCAUGUACGUGCUUCUUUCGCAUGAAUAGGAAGCCGGCCUGGUAUCAAAGAGCAGUGAAGAUGGCCACUGUUUGGAGAAGUACCAUUUCCAAGUCCAGAGAAAUCCCAACGAAAAAUGCUACAAUUUUAUGGAGAAGUACGGCCAUUUCCAGAGCCACUACAGAAAUCGAUCAUCCAACUCAUGCAAGCUCCAACAUAAAUACUAGAUCAAACAACAAGCUAAGCAAAUGCAGCUCUCUAAAGAUUGCCACCACUACGUUUACUCGAGUUUGUCUUUGUGCACCAAUCUCUUCCUACAAAGAGCUUAAUUUCCGAGCUGAACAGAUUCCACCCAGAAGAAGUAACAGUUACCCAAGAUACUCAAAGUCGAGUACGUCGACGUUUCCCACGUCACAGGAUGGAGUAAAUUAUUAUAAUAAUAUUCCAGCUACCCCAAGACUUAGUGUGGAAGGGAGACGAGUUUUCCGGGGAAAGUCUCUGACGGAUGAUGUUUUAAUGAGAAGAUUUGUGGUUGAAGAAGAAGCAAUGAUGCAAAUUAGGAGGAGGAAUCAAAUGGAAGCUAUAAGGAGGAGAAGUAUUAUGAGAAGGAAGAAGCUUGGGCCCAGUCCUCUUUGUAGAAUGGUUAUGGCAGGGGAGGAACAUGCAUGAUCAUCAUGAUAUCAGUAGUUGAA